CUGUGGGCAUUUCAUUUUGAAACGGCGAUCAUGAAUAUGGCGAACGAAAAGUGUUUGCGAUUAAGCACGGGCGGCCUCUCAAAGACCUCAACGGGCCAAGUCAGCAACAUUCUUGCCGACGAUGUGCAAGCCUUCAAGAAGGCUUUUGAUAAACUCCAUAACCUGUGGG